rnacentral:rRNA from 1 species
GAUGAACGCUGGCGGCGUGCCUAAUACAUGCAAGUCGAGCGAACGGACGAGAAGCUUGCUUCUCUGAUGUUAGCGGCGGACGGGUGAGUAACACGUGGAUAACCUACCUAUAAGACUGGGAUAACUUCGGGAAACCGGAGCUAAUACCGGAUAAUAUUUUGAACCGCAUGGUUCAAAAGUGAAAGACGGUCUUGCUGUCACUUAUAGAUGGAUCCGCGCUGCAUUAGCUAGUUGGUAAGGUAACGGCUUACCAAGGCAACGAUGCAUAGCCGACCUGAGAGGGUGAUCGGCCACACUGGAACUGAGACACGGUCCAGACUCCUACGGGAGGCAGCAGUAGGGAAUCUUCCGCAAUGGGCGAAAGCCUGACGGAGCAACGCCGCGUGAGUGAUGAAGGUCUUCGGAUCGUAAAACUCUGUUAUUAGGGAAGAACAUAUGUGUAAGUAACUGUGCACAUCUUGACGGUACCUAAUCAGAAAGCCACGGCUAACUACGUGCCAGCAGCCGCGGUAAUACGUAGGUGGCAAGCGUUAUCCGGAAUUAUUGGGCGUAAAGCGCGCGUAGGCGGUUUUUUAAGUCUGAUGUGAAAGCCCACGGCUCAACCGUGGAGGGUCAUUGGAAACUGGAAAACUUGAGUGCAGAAGAGGAAAGUGGAAUUCCAUGUGUAGCGGUGAAAUGCGUAGAUAUAUGGAGGAACACCGGUGGCGAAAGCGGCUCUCUGGCUUGUAACUGACGCUGAGGCUCGAAAGCGUGGGGAGCAAACAGGAUUAGAUACCCUGGUAGUCCACGCCGUAAACGAUGAGUGCUAGGUGUUAGACCCUUUCCGGGGUUUAGUGCCGCAGCUAACGCAUUAAGCACUCCGCCUGGGGAGUACGACCGCAAGGUUGAAACUCAAAGGAAUUGACGGGGGCCCGCACAAGCGGUGGAGCAUGUGGUUUAAUUCGAAGCAACGCGAAGAACCUUACCAGGUCUUGACAUCCCUCUGACCGCUCUAGAGAUAGAGCUUUCCUUCGGGACAGAGGUGACAGGUGGUGCAUGGUUGUCGUCAGCUCGUGUCGUGAGAUGUUGGGUUAAGUCCCGCAACGAGCGCAACCCCUAUUGUUAGUUGCCAUCAUUCAGUUGGGCACUCUAGCGAGACUGCCGGUAAUAAACCGGAGGAAGGUGGGGAUGACGUCAAAUCAUCAUGCCCCUUAUGACCUGGGCUACACACGUGCUGCAAUGGCUGGUACAACGAGUCGCAAGCCGGUGACGGCAAGCUAAUCUCUUAAAGCCAGUCUCAGUUCGGAUUGUAGUCUGCAACUCGACUACAUGAAGCUGGAAUCGCUAGUAAUCGUAGAUCAGCAUGCUACGGUGAAUACGUUCCCGGGUCU